rnacentral:rRNA from 1 species
AGAGUUUGAUUAUGGCUCAGGAUGAACGCUGGCGGCGUGCUUAACACAUGCAAGUCGAACGAGGGUUGCUGGUUGAAGUUUUCGGAUGGAAACCGGUAAUUCCUAGUGGCGGACGGGUGAGUAACGCGUGGGGAACCUGCCCCGCUCCGGGGGAUACCAGCUGGAAACGGCUGUUAAUACCGCAUAAGCGCACAGUAUCGCAUGAUGCAGUGUGAAAAACUCCGGUGGAACGGGAUGGCCCCGCGUCUGAUUAGCCAGUUGGCAGGGUAACGGCCUACCAAAGCGACGAUCAGUAGCCGGCCUGAGAGGGCGACCGGCCACAUUGGGACUGAGACACGGCCCAAACUCCUACGGGAGGCAGCAGUGGGGAAUAUUGCACAAUGGGGGAAACCCUGAUGCAGCCGACGCCGCGUGAGUGAGGAAGUAUUUCGGUAUGUAAAGCUCUAUCAGCAGGGAAGAAGAUGACGGUACCUGCACAAGAAGCCCCGGCUAACUACGUGCCAGCCGCGGC